rnacentral:rRNA from 1 species
CAGUCGCCGCGGUAAUACGUAGGUGGCAAGCGUUGUCCGGAAUUAUUAGGCGUAAAGGGCUCGCAGGCGGUUUCUUAAGUCUGAUGUGAAAGCCCCCGGCUCAACCGGGGAGGGUCAUUGGAAACUGGGAAACUUGAGUGCAGAAGAGGAGAGUGGAAUUCCACGUGUAGCGGUGAAAUGCGUAGAGAUGUGGAGGAACACCAGUGGCGAAGGCGACUCUCUGGUCUGUAACUGACGCUGAGGAGCGGAAGCGUGGGGAGCGAACAGGAUUAGAUACCCGUGUAGUCCCUGUCUCUUAUAC